UCCGUUCGUGUUUGAACCUCUUAUGUAUUCCGUCCAAAUAGUAAGAAGGAUAGGAUUUUGCACGGCUGCACCAGCAGAGUCAGUUCUUCUUCUAGGUUGCCGAAACAUGAUUUAGCUUUUCCCAAAAUAUAUACACAAGAAUUGGCUCUUAAACCUGGAGGAAGCAUGCAUCCUAUGUCACCAGUUUCACUUCGAAGACCCGAACGCUAAAGUUUCUUUCCUAAUAGGGCGAUGGGUUCAAAAUUCCAACCUACGAUGAAUAGUAAAAGGGAAAAAGUUUGAGUACAGCUUUCACCACCAUCCAAGGUCAAGGUAGAAAGUCUGAGGUCCGAUCAUCUCCAUUGUGACCAAUUGCAGCCAUCAGGUCAAGAUUUGGCUACAGAGGAUAGGUUUGAGUUUGGGCAAUUUGUUGCGCUUGAGAAGCCGUGCUUGAUGAAGAAUACUGGGUCCGUAAUGAAUUGUUACAUAAGACAGCAGCGUGGCUAAGGGCAGAAAGUCACUGGGAGGAUCGAACUCACGAACGAUAUGUUGAUAACUACAUAAGAAAAUUUGCGGAGCAGAUCGGAGUCAAUGCCAACCACUAUGAUGAGACCGUGUAGUCACUGUAUUUAUAUAACGAAAUUUGAGGUAACCCAAUCCUUAAUUUGUUAUGCAUUGCAUGGACUGCGGUUUUUUAUCUUUUUCAUAUACAGAAUACAGACAUAUAGAUGCCUAGGGGCUUCCCAAUAUCCUUUUCAGAUGGUCGAAAUGGCGCGCGUUCAGUUGUCACCCGAGCAACCAUAAUUGCUUCGUUUUCAUAUAUAGUUCAAUACAGUACCUGUUCGAUCCA